rnacentral:rRNA from 1 species
UACGUAGGGUGCAAGCGUUAAUCGGAAUUACUGGGCGUAAAGCGUGCGCAGGCGGUUUUGUAAGUCUGUUGUGAAAGCCCCGGGCUCAACCUGGGAAUUGCGAUGGAGACUGCAAGGCUUGAAUCUGGCAGAGGGGGGUAGAAUUCCACGUGUAGCAGUGAAAUGCGUAGAGAUGUGGAGGAAUACCGAUGGCGAAGGCAGCCCCCUGGGCCAAUACUGACGCUCAUGCACGAAAGCGUGGGGGAGCAAACAGG